rnacentral:rRNA from 1 species
UACGUAGGUGGCAAGCGUUGUCCGGAUUUACUGGGCGUAAAGAGCGCGCAGGCGGUCGUUCAAGUCGCGUGUGAAAGCCCCCGGCUCAACUGGGGAGGGUCACGCGAUACUGAUCGACUCGAAGGCAGGAGAGGGUAGUGGAACUCCCGGUGUAGUGGUGAAAUGCGUAGAUAUCGGGAGGAACACCAGUGGCGAAGGCGACUACCUGGCCUGUUCUUGACGCUGAGGCGCGAAAGCUAGGGGAGCAAACGGG